UACGUAGGUGACCAGCGUUGUCCGGAUUUACUGGGCGUAAAGAGCGCGCAGGCGGUCGUUCAAGUCGAGUGUGAAAGCCCCCGGCUCAACUGGGGAGGGUCAUUCGAUACUGAUCGACUCGAAGGCAGGAGAGGGAAGCGGAAUUCCCGGUGUAGUGGUGAAAUGCGUAGAUAUCGGGAGGAACACCAGUGGCGAAGGCGACUACCUGGCCUGUUCUUGACGCUGAGGCGCGAAAGCUAGGGGAGCAAAGCGGGG
rnacentral:rRNA from 1 species